rnacentral:lncRNA from 1 species
CACUGUGACUUUUUAGUGUGUUUCCAUAAUGAAGAAAACAUGUAAGUCCCUUAAAAUACCACCAAAUAUUUGGAUGAAAUCUAUUCCUAGGAGUUCCUAUUGGUUCUUGGAUUAUUUUCACCCCAACUUACUAUUUUAAACAUACAAUAGGAAAAUCAAAGAAUAUUUUUAGUGAUCUGCAAGUUUUGGUGGCCUACUGUUAGGCAGAUAAUAUACACAAAGUGAUACACAGUUAAAACUGGUUUCUUGUCUGCAAAGUAAUUUUAUAAAAAUGGCAUUGGGAAUAUUCAUUUUAGCAUCUAUUGAUGCUGGUUGAUAAGGGAAAUAUCAGUUAAAAAAAUAAUGAGAAGCCCAUUAGAAUUUAAAAGCCGAAUUUAUUUUAAUUUGCUUUCCUGUGGAAGUAUGUCUGAUGCAGUCACUGUGUGCCUGUGUCUGUUUGCUUUCUAAAUUUAAACAACUUCUGAAUUACAUAACCUGUUCUAGCCAAACUUUUGGCUGAGAGACUCAGUCUCAUUUCUUUUUCAAUGCCUUUUUUUGGACAGGGUUGCCUGAAAUGGGUCGCUGGUAACAGGUUAACUGAAAUAAUUUUCUGAGUUCAAAUAACAUCAAUUUCCAAUACUGACCUGAUACUGCCUAACAUUGUAUAUCUAAGGACUAUUUACCCUUUCAAUUAUCGCAUCACAGUUGGAGGUUUUGUUCUGCUUAUAAACAACCGUGACCAUUACAUUCUUAUUAUUAAUCCAGUUGCAUUAUCUUUUGGCUUUAUAUUUUUGUAUUUAGAAGUCUUUUUCUGUUCACCUUUAAAAUUAUCAUGUGUUGGUUUUAGCAGGUGGUUCAGAUUCUUCUGAACAACUGAAAAAUCCCUGAUUGACCAUUUUUCCUGCCUGAAGUGAAAUGCAACAAUGAAACAUUUUUGCAACACUGGUGUCCAAAAAAUGAUGUCUUAUAGUUCCAUAAGCUUUUUGACAUUGAGUAAUUUCAUCACAGUGGAUGGCCGUUUAUUAUUUUAAAGUGGGUGUGAGAUCAGCUUCCUGUAUCUGUCACUUGAUAUCAUUAUUUAUAAUAACUUGAUAGUGCCACUUCUUUGAAAUAAUUCGAAGAAUUUACAAAUUAAAUCAGUCUGUUACCGCCGUGCAUGAAAGUAGUGCAAACCACAGAUAAAACUAUACAGAGCACAUAAAAGUAUCACGAACCAGAACUGAAACUCUUUCCCAGUCUGCUUUAUAAAGUAUUUCACUGUUUCUUUUCCCUUUUCUUUAAUACAAGAAAAAAAAAAAGAAAAAAAGAAG